AAGUUGCAAAGUCAUACCUUUCUGCUCUUGUCAGACAAUUAAGGGGUCUUUGAAUACUUCAGCUCUAAUAAUUUCCUUCCUAACAUACAUAUUGCAGUGCUUAUCUAAUUUUAAAUAUCCUUUUGUUUCAACACCUAAUUUUCUAUUUUGAUCUAUCUGUAUGUUUACAAUAUAUUUUGCUCUGUGUUCAUUCUUUGAUUUCAGAACUUCAAUCUUUCUGAAGCGUGUUUUCAGUUUCGUUUGAGUUUCUUUAGUGGAAUUCUGCUGGUGGUGUUUUGUUUUUUGUCUCUAAAUAUGUUAUUUAGCCAUAGGUUGAUGAAUGUUUUUCUUGGUUGAGAAUUUCAGAAUGGCAUUAUUAUUCUUAACAAAUAAUAUUGUUUAUUUUACCUUUCAUGCUUUCAGAUUUCAAUAUGAUUAAAGGUAAUUUGAUUUUUCUAGUGCUAAUUGAAAUAUUUUUCCCUUCCUGAUUGUUUACUAUUUCUCUAGGAGAUAUGUAGAUGUAGGUUUAUCUCCAUCGUAGCUUGCUUAGCAUGCAUAGAAGUUUUGAAUAUGUGGAUUAGUGUCUUACAAAAGUCUAGAGAACUUUCAGCCAAAAUACCAUCACAUAUUGUCCCUUCCCUGUUCCCUUCCUCUAUGAGAACACUCACUAAACACAUGCUACACUUUCUCACUGUAUCUUCCAUGUCUCUUCAUGAUUCUGUCCACAUUGUGCCUUUUUUAAAAUUUUCUGUAAUGCAUUCUGAAAUAUUUAUGAACUCUCACCAUGGCCAUGUCUAAUCUGAUGAGUUCAUUUUUGAGUUUUUAAUUUAAAAUACUAUAUAUAAACUACUUUUCAAAUUUACUACAUCAAUUUUUUAGUCUCCUAAAAAUAUAUUCAUUUUUUUUUAAUUUUUUGAAAGCAAAUGUGCUUUAUAAUCUAACAGUGAUAUUUCUACUAAUGAACCUUUGUGGAUCUGUUUGUACUCUUUUUCUGCUUUCCUUUCAAAUGGUGGAAUAUCAUUUCCUUGCGUACUUAGAUGCCUUUGAAUGACAAAGAUUUAUUUUUCUCUGAAAAUUAUUAUUGUGCACUUUUGCAUAUUAGAAGAAAAUUUGCCAAAGAGAAUUUGAAUUUUUUGUGAGUCUACUAAAGGCACCACCAUUCUGGGACCACAUUAUAUUAAUUCUUGGCCUAAAGGUGUUUGGACGUAUGUUUGGACAGCACAUUUAAACAAUUUUUAAAUUAAUUGCUGUAAAUCAUUAAUGAUUGAGUUGCUUUAAAUCUGUCCAAUCUCAAGUCAUUUUUAUUUGCCAUUUCCAGGGAAUGUGAAAUGAGACUAAUUUACCUCUGAUUCUUCUUUAGACUGAGGAUAUAAAUUUUGGUUCUAGCUUUAGGGAAGAGCUCCUGUGUGAUGCCCUAUCUUGGGAAACACUAUGUAUUUCUUUACUGUCCUAUGUGAUGUAUGACAGUAGGAAUCUGCAGUCAUUCAUUUUGCUACAUGUCCGUAGGGCAAAAUCAGUUUCAGUGUUUAGGUGUAUUUUGUCUGCUCCCUGCAUUCCCAUGGUUUUGACCUUAUAUUUUACUUUUUUUUUGUGAACGUACCAAUGCUUCAAUUUUUUUCCAGUAAUAUAAUCAACUAUACUAUAAGAGAAAAAUUUUGAUAAAACACAAAUUUCAUGUUUUCCUACUCUAAUUGGCUUUUACGUAAAAAUACAGGUAAAAUUUAUUUGUGCUUUUUUGCUAUUAUUUUUUGCUAUUCUCUGUUUGUCUAUGUCUUCACCACAUAGACACAAUUAGGGAAUUUUGUACACUCUUGUGCCAACUGCUUUGAUAGGAACAAAAUGUAUUUCUCGAACUCCUAGGUAUAAAACUCAAGUAUCCAUGAUUGAAAUUCUUUUUUGCUCACUUCUAUUAUGUUUCCAGUCUCAAUAGAAAUCGAUGCCAAUCCAGAAAUACAAGCAUUAUUCUAAUACUUCUCACACAUUACUGCAGGAGUGAGGACACAGCGAAAGUGAGACAAGGAAAAGAGAACAAAAUAAAACAGGAAAGAUAGAAAAGCCAAUACCACACGUGUUAAGAGGUAAGUUCCUGUGUUAGAUAUCUGGGCUUAAUUUUAUGGGAAGCUAUGUGGAGCAUGCCUCAGAAUUACAUCACUGAAUCCAGGGAGAUUCUUCUUAGCUACCCUCACCUUUUCUUCCCACUUCAUGCCCAGUAACAAGCUCCCGUGCUGCUAGAGAAAGUCCUCAGCUAGAAACUGGUGCAAAUUCUGGAGAUGAGACCUUGUAGAGUGUUAAGAAUGGUUUUCUUCCCAGCAGCUACAGAUGAUCAAGAAGGACUGCAGAAAGGAGGAAACAGAAACAAACAGCACACCUCUUGGUUUAUUUGUAUUCAUUUCAUCAGUUUCAAGGAAAAUAUGUUGGGAGUUCCUCGCAUAGAGAAUGUCACAAAGACAUGUUUUCAAUAGUAGUGCUAUCCCUAGGGCAGAGAAGACCCAGAGAAAGCCCAAGUGGCUGCUGGAACACAGUCAGACACCGUGCCACCUGUCCACACUCCUUGGCUCUGCCAUCAUGCUGAAGAUCGCUUUAAAGGACUGGCUUCCCUCCCCCCAAAAUGAAUAGAGCACAGACUGAGAAACUGAAUGUGGGAGACAGCAGUGGAUUAUGCUGUUCUCAGGGGUCACCUCAGGUUUGGAAGCAUUCUUUCAAAUUAACCCAUCUCAGGCCAUCUGCAGAGAAGAAAGGUGGUACCUAACUUUUUUCUUGUCAGCAUUUGGUAGGGGUGUUUUAUUGACCAAAUAUGUUCCCACAACCUAGUUUUUUGUGAGUAACUAAAUAUAGUAGAGUUUUAAAUUUUAUCAUCAAAAUCUAUAGACAAUUUUUGAUGAAAAUAGACUCCAUCUCUAUGUCCUGCUUUUCUUCUUCUUAUUAAUUACAUUGCUGUAUAAAAGAACAAGACUUCAGAAUCAAGAAUAUCUUGUCUCUUGGCAUUGAAUUUAUACAAGGUGCUCUUUCUUUAAUGCUGUCUCAAAGGACAUAUUUUUACUCAUUAAAAAGGAAGAUCGGAAUCUAGUUGUAUGCGCUGCUCCAACAUAUUAAUAAUUAAAAUUAGGAGGUAAAUGUGGUCAAAACUAUAGAAAGACUGAGAUGUCAUUUAUAUUGAUUGCUGUAUAGCAUUCUACAAACAGAAAUUGUUAAAUAAGUUUAUAUAAAUAUUUUGUAGCAUUUCAAAUAUUUGAGUGCUUGACGUUUCUCCUCUUCUAUAGUUCAGAUUAUCAAUUUGAAGACUUACUCCGCUAGUUAAAAUGUUUUUAGUCUCGUUCGAGUAUUAUAUAAAAGCAAUUUUCAGUUAAAUGUGUUCCGCUUACAUACAACAUUACAAAUUAUUGAGGAUUUAAUUACUUAUUCAUGUUCCUGUAAUAUCUUUAGAAGAUUUUCUUAUUAUUACCUAUCAAUAUAUGUAUGCUUUGUCAAAGAAAAAUCAAACAUAUAUAUCAUUGAAAUUGAAACUUUUUAAAAGUACUUA
rnacentral:lncRNA from 1 species